rnacentral:rRNA from 1 species
UACGGGGGGUGCGAGCGUUGUCCGGAUUCACUGGGCGUAAGGGCGCGUAGGCGGCCGGGUCAGUCGGGCCUGUAAGUGCGGGGCUCAACCCCGUGAUGGGCUCGGGACGGCCCGGCUGGGGCGCGGUCGAGGGAGACGGAAUGCCGGGUGUAGUGGUGGAAAUGCGUAGAGAUCCGGCGGAACACCGGUGGUGAAGACGGUCUCC